AUUGAACGCUGGCGGCAUGCCUUACACAUGCAAGUAGAACGGCAGCACGGGUGCUUGCACCUGGUGGCGAGUGGCGAACGGGUGAGUAAUACAUCGGAACAUGUCCUGUAGUGGGGGAUAGCCAGGCGAAAGCCGGAUUACUACUGCCUCCGAACUACGGAUGUAAGCUGGGGACCUUCGGACCUCGCGCUAUGCGGCUGGCCGAUGGCUGAUUAGCUAGUGGGAGGGGUAAAGGCCUACCACGGCGACGCACAGUAGCUGGUCGGAGCGGACGACCAGCCACACUGGAACUGAGAAACGGCCCAGACCCCUACGGGAGGAACCAGUGGGGAAUUUUGGACAAUGGGCGAAAGCCGGAUCCAGCAAUGCCGCGUGCGUGAAGAAGGCCUUCGGGUUGUAAAGCACGUUGGUCCGGAAAGAAAUCCUUGGCCCUAAUACGGUCGGGGGAUGACGGUACCGGAAGAAUAAGCACCGGCUAACUACGUG
rnacentral:rRNA from 1 species